GACGAACGCUGGCGGCGUGCCUAAUACAUGCAAGUAGAACGCUGAAGAGAGGAGCUUGCUCUUCUUGGAUGAGUUGCGAACGGGUGAGUAACGCGUAGGUAACCUGCCUUGUAGCGGGGGAUAACUAUUGGAAACGAUAGCUAAUACCGCAUAACAAUGGAUGACACAUGUCAUUUAUUUGAAAGUGGCAAUUGCUCCACUACAAGAUGGACCUGCGUUGUAUUAGCUAGUAGGUGAGGUACUGGCUCACCUAGGCGACGAUACAUAGCCGACCUGAGAGGGUGAUCGGCCACACUGAGACGGAGACACGGCCCAGACUCCUACAGGAGGCAGCCGUAGGGAAUCUUCGGCAAUGGGGGCAACACUGACCGAGCAACGCCGAAUGAGUGAAGAAGGUUGUCGGAUCGUAAAGCUCGGUUGUAAGUCAAGAAAGGGUGUGAGAGUGGAAAGUUCACACUGUGACGGUAGCUUACCAGAAAGGGACGGCUAACUACGUG
rnacentral:rRNA from 1 species